AUAUAUGUGUGUGUGUGUGUGUGUGUGUGUGAGAGAGAGAGAGAGAGAGAGAGAGUAGAUAUUAUAUAUAAAACUCAUGUUUUAAACAAGCAAUGGGUGAAUGCACAUAUCAUAUCUUAACCAAAAAACAAGAGGGGUGCCUGCAUAUGUAGUAAUAGAAAUCGUGGAUCCCACUUAGUUUUGUUGGGUUGUGGGGAACUUUAGCUUUGGUUGUCAAAAUUCUACCUUUUGACUGUAAUAGCGGUCAAGCAUGAAUAUUCUCUGUUCUCACCCCAAAAAAAAAAAAAAAAAAAAAAAAAAAACUCUGUAACUGUGUCUGUGUACUCUAUAUAUAUAUAUAUACAUAAAGCCUGGCAGCCUUUCGAAUGGUAUUCCAUCAGAUUAAAAAAAAAAAAAAAUGAUAUUGCAUUAGAUUAGUUGCGUUUGAUAUGGAAAAGUUGAAUCCGUACGACUAGGCAAACAAAGUUAUGAAUAAGGAGCCAUGUUGGAGCUCUGCCGCAGGGGAGAUGGCAUCUGGGGGGGAUAACAGAGACCAAACUUUUGUAUACCAAGGAACUCAAGGAACAAGAAUGGAGAAUCUUGAUUCUUGUUGUUCAAGAACCAACAAAGGCAAAUUCAGGAGCUUUUUCAAUGAAGAUGAUGUCUGGCUGCUUCAGUGGAACAAGGAUUUCGAAGUAUAAUAUUUUCCAGCUUUUAGUUACAAAAUAAGGAUCAAACUUUCUAUUGUAAUCAUUAUCUCAAAGAUCAUCAUUAUGAAUUAUAUUAUCAUUGUUAUUAUUAUCUAAA